AUGCACUCUCAUGAGUAAAAGACUACUACUGCAUUCGACUAGACGUCACAACUAAUAAUUCCCGACCUCCGACCAGGAAAACUAACAAACAGAACGUUCCCUCAACUACUCGGCUGUCAUACUCUGGACCUCAAGACACGCCAACCUACCAUGCAUGUCUUUGGACUGGGGGAGGAAACCAAAGACCCAGGGGAAACCCCCGCAGCACGAGGAGAACAUGCAAAUUCCGCACACACAUGGCCCCAGCAGGACACGAACCCCAGAGCCUGGAGG